GUUUUCAGGUUACAGUUCAGUAAAUACUAUUAAUAAAUUUUCUAAAAUGGUAUGGGAUUUCUAAAAUUAUGUCUGAAUAUGUGCUAACUUUCAUAACUGAAGUUAUGUUAAGUUACUGUAAACCACAAAAAUAACCAAAUGUCUUUGUCAAUCAUGUUUUUGAGUGUGACCACCCAAAAAUAUUUUGUUAUUCACAGAUAAUCAUUGUCUUGUUUUGAUCUUUUUAAAAAGAUGGUUUAUAAUCAGCUAUAGGACUUUGACAGGUGCUCUUAAAUGCAGAUUCUGAUGUCUUUGAAGAUCGUGACAUUGGAAUAAACGAAAAAUGUACAGGAUUCAUGAAGAGCUAAAAUGCUCACGAAUAUCAAGCAGAACACUAGUUAACUAAAUGGACGGAACUAACAGAAAACUGAAGUAAUCUUUUUUACUUACUGUUUAAAACAUUGCUGGUUCUUCUUUGUUUUUCAGAGUCAAGAAAAUUUCUUUUAUGCUGUCUACAGCUUUCAACAAUUGAGCAAGGUAUACUCCUGUGAACAAAAUUUGCAGCAUAUUUGUUUCUUUUUCGCCUGGUUCCUCUAGAAUUUGGAAACUAUUUGGGAUCAAGCCUGAAUUGCAGAGUCAAUAAAAACCCCUUGGGAAAACCAGCCUCAUAACUUGCCUACACAGUCCCUGAACAGGAUUCCUAACACAUGGUUUCGGAGGAUAUAGAAGACGAAGAAAUACGGCUAAACCACCUUGCCUGAAACCUAGAAGUGUUCCCACUGUAAGAUACUUCAUAACCAUAAACUCCAUGAAGUCAGAGACAACAUCUGCUUUGUCAAUGAAUGUCCAGGACCUAGCACAUAACCAGCCACAUGGAAGUGAGGAUGUGUUGAUGCAAGCACCCCUGUGA
rnacentral:lncRNA from 13 species